UUUUUCCCUUUCUUUCCUUUCCUCUCCUUUCCUGUUUCUUUCUCCUCUUUCCUCUUGGCUGUUGAACUUAUAAAGACCCAUGAGACAGGUCUUCACUAAAUACGGAGUGUCAAUCAAACAUAAAGACUGAGUCAGCUCUCCAAACUUCAACUCUUCCUUAUAAG
rnacentral:ribozyme from 1 species